rnacentral:rRNA from 1 species
ACUCCUACGGGAGGCAGCAGUGGGGAAUAUUGCACAAUGGGGGAAACCCUGAUGCAGCCAUGCCGCGUGUGUGAAGAAGGCCUUCGGGUUGUAAAGCACUUUCAGCGAGGAGGAAAGGUUGAUGCCUAAUACGCAUCAGCUGUGACGUUACUCGCAG